GUGCUUGCUUUGGCAGCACGCAUCCUAAGACUGGAACGACACAGAGAUUAGCACGGCCCCUGCACAAGGAUGAUGCGCAAAUUCAUGAAGCGUUCCAUAUUUUA
ensembl:snRNA U6 U6 spliceosomal RNA